GAUGAACGCUGGCGGCGUGCCUAAUACAUGCAAGUCGAGCGAAUGGAUUAAGAGCUUGCUCUUAUGAAGUUAGCGGCGGACGGGUGAGUAACACGUGGGUAACCUGCCCAUAAGACUGGGAUAACUCCGGGAAACCGGGGCUAAUACCGGAUAACAUUUUGAACCGCAUGGUUCGAAAUUGAAAGGCGGCUUCGGCUGUCACUUAUGGAUGGACCCGCGUCGCAUUAGCUAGUUGGUGAGGUAACGGCUCACCAAGGCGACGAUGCGUAGCCGACCUGAGAGGGUGAUCGGCCACACUGGGACUAAGACACGGCCCAGACUCCUACGGGAGGCAGCAGUAGGGAAUCUUCCGCAAUGGACGAAAGUCUGACGGAGCAACGCCGCGUGAGUGAUGAAGGCUUUCGGGUCGUAAAACUCUGUUGUUAGGGAAGAACAAGUGCUAGUUGAAUAAGCUGGCACCUUGACGGUACCUAACCAGAAAGCCACGGCUAACUACGUGCCAGCCGCCGCGGUAA
rnacentral:rRNA from 1 species